ensembl:lncRNA
UGUGUGUGUGUGUGUGUGUGUGUAAGGAUGGCUCAUGUGUUUGUGUGUGUAUAUGUCAGUAUUGUGUGAGUUGUGUGCGUAUAUGUAAUAUUGAUUGUAUGUGUUUGUGUGUGUAUAUGUCAGUAUCGAUUGUGUGACAUAUACAAUCGAUAUCACACACAGUGUGAGUGUGUGUGUGUGUUUGUCAGUAUUGAUUGUGUGUGUGUGUGUGUGCAUGUUUAUGUGUGUGUUUGUUUGUGUGUGUAUAUGUCAGUAUUGAUUGUGUGUGUGUGUGUGUGUGUGUGUGUGUAUGUCUGUAUUGAUUGUGUGUUUGUGUAUAUGCCAGUAUUGAUUGUGUAUGUGUGUGUGUGUUUGUGUGUAUGUCCAUAUUGAUUGUGUGUGUGUGUUUGUGUGUAUGUCAGUAUUGAUUGUGUGUGGGUGUGUGUGGUUAUGUGUGUAUAUGUCAGUAUUGAUUGUGUAUGUGUGUGUGUAUAUGUCCGCAUUGAUUGUGUGUGUGUGUGUGUGUGUGUGUGUGUGUGUGUGUAUGUCAGUAUUGAUUGUGUGUGGGUGUGUGUGUUUAUGUGUGUAUAUGUCAGUAUUGAUUGUGUGUGUGUUUGUGUGUGUGUGUGUAUGUCAAUAUUGAUUGUGUGUGUGUUUCUGUGUGUGUAUGUCAGUAUUGAUUGUGUGUGUGUGUUUGUGUGUAUGUCAGUGUUGAUUGUGUGUGUGUGUGUUUGUGUGUAUGUCAGUGUUGAUUGUGUGUGUGUGUUUGUGUGUAUGUCAGUAUUGACUGUGUGUGUGUGUGUUUGUGUGUAUGUCAGUGUUGAUUGUGUGUGUGUGUGUGUGUGUGUGUUUGUGUGUAUGUCAGUAUUGAUUGUGUGUGUGUGUUGUGUGUGUGUGUUUGUGUGUAUGUCAGUAUUGAUUGUGUGUGUGUGGGUGUGUGUUUGUGUGUAUGUCAGUAUUGAUUGUGUGUGUGUGUUUGUGUGUAUGUCAGUGUUGAUUGUUGUUGAUUGUGUGUGUGUGUUUGUGUGUAUGUCAGUAUUGACUGUGUGUGUGUGUUUGUGUGUAUGUCAGUGUUGAUUGUGUGUGUGUGUGUGUUUGUGUAUAUGUCAGUUGUGAUUGUGUGUGUGUGUGUGUGUUUGUGUGUAUGUCAGUAUUGAUUGUGUGUGUGUGUUUGUGUGUAUGUCAGUGUUGAUUGUGUGUGUGUUUGUGUGU